rnacentral:RNase_P_RNA from 1 species
UGAGCAGACUGUGCAGCCGCGGAAGGCGCUUUAUGCCGACGAGGAAAGUCCGGGCAUCACAGAGCAGGGUAACUGCUAACAGCAGCCGGAGGCGACUCUAGGGCAAGUGCAACAGAAACAGACUGCUGUCCCGAAACGGACAGUGAUGGUGGAAAGGCGGGGUAAGAGCCCACCAGAGCGUAUGAGAAUACGCUGCUAUGUAAACCCUACCCGAUGCAACGCUGAUUGGUGCAGGUGGUCAUAACGUCUGCUCGGCGGAUCAUCUGCAAAGGCGGCUUGAGCGUGCCGGCGACGGUACGCCUAGAUAAAUGGCUGCACACGGUUUAACUUCGUUAAACCUGACAGAACCCGGCUUACAGGUCUGGUCACACU